CCUACGGGGGGCAGCAGUGAGGAAUAUUGGUCAAUGGCCGCAAGGCUGAACCAGCCAAGUCGCGUGAAGGAAGACGGCCCUAUGGGUUGUAAACUUCUUUUAUAGGGGAAUAAAGGUAUCCACGUGUGGAUUUUUGCAUGUACCCUAUGAAUAAGCAUCGGCUAACUCCGUGCCAGCAGCCGCGGUAAUCCGGAGGAUGCGAGCGUUAUCCGGAUUUAUUGGGUUUAAAGGGUGCGUAGGGUGGUUGUUAAGUCAGCGGUGAAAGUUUGUGGCUCAACCAUAAAAUUGCCGUUGAAACUGGAAGACUUGAGUGUGUUUGAGGUAGGCGGAAUGCGUGGUGUAGCGGUGAAAUGCAUAGAUAUCACGCAGAACUCCGAUUGCGAAGGCAGCAUACUAAGCCACAACUGACACUGAAGCACGAAAGCGUGGGGAUCAAACAGGAUUAGAUACCCUGGUAGUC
rnacentral:rRNA from 1 species